rnacentral:lncRNA from 1 species
GGCUCAGCUGUGCUGUGCUGGGCUGUGCUGUGCUGUGCUGAGCUGGGCCACACUGGGAGAGUGAGAGUGAGUGAUGCUUCCUUGCAUCCGGCACUUAGAAACCAGAAGACUUAAAUACAUUCCCGAGAGACUCUCAUGAAGACUGAACUAAAAUGCUCCCUAACUGCUGAUACCUUAUGGGAAUUCCAGGGAAGCAGAUGAAGAAAGGCCCACAGUGUCUCUCCCCUCCACAUGGCUGGACGAAACUGCAGUGGCACUCAGCAUCAGGUGGCCUGUGGUGUCUCCAAUCAAAGCCCAGGCUUGCUGUGUUGAUCAUCCCUGGCUCACGAAGUCUCAUUCUGUGCAUGUUUUUGCACCAAUGGGAAAUCUACACUGAGAAUGCUGUCAACCCCCUUUUGUGGAGCACCCCCUCU